AGGGAGCGGCUUAAGGGAUGUGUAAGGGUAAACCGUGAAUGGUUAGAGGGAGAAAAGAGGAAAGCCGUGAGAUUGUUGAUCUACGGUGUGGUGCAAAGGAGUGUCUGUGUGUGUACUACAAGAUGUAUGUAUAUAACACAAACAGGUCCUUCUAUGGAAACACCAACCCACACACACACACCCAUUUUCGUUCUAUCACAACAUCAACCUGCUUCCUCUUCAACCCUUUUUUUUUCUUCUCUUCUUUUCCUUCACCUCUCACGCUUCCCCUCCAAUUUACAACACUAAUUCACAUAGCCCAAACUUUCAUCUUCAGGAUCUGACUUUUUCAAACAUACAAUGGGGUUAGCCAUUUAGACAGCAUCAAUAUCUAUCUCUUCUUCUUUUCUUCCUCCUUUUGCCCACCCACGACAACCAAACUUGUAUUUAUCUCCAAUCCUUUUUUCUUUCUCCCAAUUUUGUUGGCUCAUUUAUGUUUUCAGAUGCAUGUUCCAAGAGUGUUUUCAUGAGUUUGUCCGAAUUCCGUUUUAAAUUUUCAACUGAAAUCUGUUCUGGAGAUUUCCUUUGAUCAUUGCGAUUAAUAAGUUGCAGAAGAUUUCCAGUUUUGAAGAUACAUUUUUCGUGAGAAAAAAAGGGUUUUGAAGCUUUGAACUUUCUGCUUGCCUGUAAUUAGAGAGACGAUCGUUUCUUGCUUGGGUGUAAAGACUGAGUUUAUAUCCAUCGUCGCUGAUAGAAGCUUUGAAAUGUCAUUAUUACUUGAAUUUUCAACAUAGAUUUACAUUUUCCAUAGCUUCAGAACUGAAAUCCCGGCACUUUUCCUUCAGCCGUACGAAGUUCUGGCCGGACCCGAUUUAGG